rnacentral:sRNA from 1 species
CGGCGAGUGAAGCGGCAAAAGCUCAAAUUUGAAAUCUGGCGCCUUCGGUGUCCGAGUUGUAAUUUGAAGAUUGUAACCUUGGGGUUGGCUCUUGUCUAUGUUUCUUGGAACAGGACGUCACAGAGGGUGAGAAUCCCGUGCGAUGAGAUGCCCAAUUCUAUGUAAGGUGCUUUCGAAGAGUCGAGUUGUUUGGGAAUGCAGCUCUAAGUGGGUGGUAAAUUCCAUCUAAAGCUAAAUAUUGGCGAGAGACCGAUAGCGAACAAGUACAGUGAUGGAAAGAUGAAAAGAACUUUGAAAAGAGAGUGAAAAAGUACGUGAAAUUGUUGAAAGGGAAGGGUUUGAGAUCAGACUCGAUAUUUUGUGAGCCUUGCCUUCGUGGCGGGGUGACCCGCAGCUUAUCGGGCCAGCAUCGGUUUGGGCGGUAGGAUAAUGGCGUAGGAAUGUGACUUUACUUCGGUGAAGUGUUAUAGCCUGCGUUGAUGCUGCCUGCCUAGACCGAGGACUGCGAUUUUAUCAAGGAUGCUGGCAUAAUGAUCCCAAACCGCCCGUCUUGA